GAUGAACGCUGGCGGCGUGCCUAAUACAUGCAAGUCGAGCGAACAGACGAGGAGCUUGCUCCUCUGACGUUAGCGGCGGACGGGUGAGUAACACGUGGAUAACCUACCUAUAAGACUGGGAUAACUUCGGGAAACCGGAGCUAAUACCGGAUAAUAUAUUGAACCGCAUGGUUCAAUAGUAAAAGACGGUUUUUCUGGCACUUAUAGAUGGAUCCGCGCCGCAUUAGCUAGUUGGUAAGGUAACGGCUUACCAAGGCAACGAUGCGUAGCCGACCUGAGAGGGUGGUCGGCCACACUGGAGCUGAGACACGGUCCAGGCUCCUACGGGAGGCAGCAGUAGGGAAUCUUCCGCAAUGGGCGAAAGCUUUACGGAGCAACGCCGCGUGAGUGAUGAAGGUCUUCGGAUCGUAAAACUCUGUUAUUAGGGAAGAACAAAUGUGUAAGUAACUAUGCACGUCUUGACGGUACCUAAUCAGAAAGCCACGGCUAACUACGUG
rnacentral:rRNA from 1 species